CGUUGAUAGGCCGGGUGUGUAAGCGCAGCGAUGCGUUGAGCUAACCGGUACUAAUGAACCGUGAGGCUUAACCUU
rnacentral:rRNA from 8 species